rnacentral:rRNA from 1 species
CGCCGCGUGAGGGAUGAAGGCCUCUGGGCUGUAAACCUCUUUUCUCAAGGAAGAAGAACUGACGGUACUUGAGGAAUAAGCCACGGCUAAUUCCGUGCCAGCAGCCGCGGUAAUACGGGAGUGGCAAGCGUUAUCCGGAAUUAUUGGGCGUAAAGCGUCCGCAGGCGGUCUUGAAAGUCUGUUGUUAAAACGUGGAGCUCAACUCCAUUUCAGCAAUGGAAACUACAAGACUAGAGUGUGGUAGGGGCAGAGGGAAUUCCCGGUGUAGCGGUGAAAUGCGUAGAUAUCGGGAAGAACACCAGUGGCGAAGGCGCUCUGCUGGGCCAUAACUGACGCUCAUGGACGAAAGCCAGGGGAGCGAAAGGGAUUAGAUACCCCUGUAGUCCUGGCCGUAAACGAUGAACACUAGGUGUCGGGGGAAUCGACCCCCUCGGUGUCGUAGCUAACGCGUUAAGUGUUCCGCCUGGGGAGUACGCACGCAAGUGUGAAACUCAAAGGAAUUGACGGGGGCCCGCACAAGCGGUGGAGUAUGUGGUUUAAUUCGAUGCAACGCGAAGAACCUUACCAGGGUUUGACAUCCUGCGAAUCCCUUGGAAACGAGGGAGUGCCUUCGGGAGCGCAGAGACAGGUGGUGCAUGGCUGUCGUCAGCUCGUGUCGUGAGAUGUUGGGUUAAGUCCCGCAACGAGCGCAACCCACGUCUUUAGUUGCCAGCAUUUAGUUGGGCACUCUAGAGAGACCGCCGGUGAUAAACCGGAGGAAGGUGUGGAUGACGUCAAGUCAUCAUGCCCCUUACAUCCUGGGCUACACACGUACUACAAUGCUACGGACAAAGGGCAGCAAACUCGCGAGAGCUAGCAAAUCCCAUAAACCGUGGCUCAGUUCAGAUCGUAGGCUGCAACUCGCCUACGUGAAGGGGGAAUCGCUAGUAAUCGCAGGUCAGCAUACUGCGGUGAAUACGUUCCCGGGCCUUGUACACACCGCCCGUCACACCAUGGAAGUUGGCCACGCCCGAAGUCGUUACUCCAACCCUUGUGGAGGAGGACGCCGAAGGUGGGGCUGAUGACUGGGGUGAAGUCGUAACAAGGUAGCCGUACCGGAAGGUG